GGUUUUCCAUUCGUGAAAGCGAAGGGAAAUGAAAAGGGAAUGCGACGGGACGGACCCAAUCCGGGCGUUUCAAUCGCAGCCGACCCCGCGACUGUAGAGCGGUCAGGGACAUGCAUCGGCGGAAGGUCUUUUACGCCCUAGGUUCGCAAUGGUGCGGGCCACAGGGCAGACGGGGCGCCUGCCGAAAAGCCACUGGAAAUGGCGCUGCAAUCAACCGGGCUGGACGCCUCCUUUUCUACGAAUCGUCCGCUUUUUGUCAGCGCCAUCCGGGAAGGCGAGCAUGUCCCGCCGGCAUUUUUGCCGAGCGCCGCGAGCCAGGAGACCUGCCGUGCC
rnacentral:ncRNA from 1 species